GGCACCCAGAGGCGGUCCUGUAGCUGGGCCGGCUUGGGGCUUGGUUCUAUGUCCCUGUGGGUUGGUGCAAGGGCCAGGAGGAACCCGUGAGCCUCAGGGGAUCCCAGGGGGCCGGACCAGUGUUCCCUAGUUGUGGGAACAGACGCGUGGGCGCAUCGCGGGAGGGCAGGGCCUGAAGAGCAGGUGCGGGCUGCGGACCCUGGCGGGGGCUGGGAGGACAGGCGUGGGGUCCCAGCAGUGACGCGGGUUCUAGAGGCACAGGAGCGGGUAGGAGAGGCCGGUGGCCCUGGGCCCGGAGUCUGCAGGCUGCGCUCCUGUCCUGCCGCUGAGGGACCCGGUUACCAACCCGCAUGACGCUCAGUUUGCCCAUCUGUCCCAGUGCUAACACACAGUUCUCGGGAGACGUUCCCCAUUCCCAGAGGAGUAGUGUGAAACGCGUGCGCCUCUAGUCUUAAACUUGACGUUUGUAUUAGUUGGGUUUCCUGGUGUCUCUUUAGCAAGUGAAGUUUCUGGUUCCCUCCUUCACUGUGUGACCUGCCUAGUCCUCCUGGGUCGCAUUUACAGAAGUUUAUACGAGACCUAGUUUCCAGGGAAGAACUCACUGAUUCCGCGAGGGAGAUGGCGUAAUAGAUGAUGGUCGUCAGCCUUAAGGGUACUUCAGUCUUAACUGUGUGUUAGAAAGUUUGAAAGGGAGGGUUCCCUAUGAAUAAGAAGCACACUUGAAAGAACAGCCGUCUGGUCUAACCUCUCACUGGUGCUUCAGAGGAGGAAAAAAGGUCACAGCUAUGUUUCCAGUGUCCUCUGGGUGUUUCCAAGAGCAACAAGAAACGAAUAAAUCUCUGCCAUAGGAGUUUUAGCCAAUUCAGAGGCCUUGCUCCCUACAAUUUGGAACAUUCCUUUGGAUUUGACCAAGUCAGGAAGAGAUGGGAGAAAAGUGAAACAACAACAAUAAAACCCCAAGCAUAAACAAACAAAGAGUUAAGCAAAACAACAAAUGCACAAUUCAUAUGAUUACUGAGUGUUCUAAUGGUAAGGAGAAAUUAAAAGCAGAAAUUAAAAGCAGCUGGUGAGUAAUCUUAAAUUUUAUUCAUUAAGGAAAAAUUUUAAGACAAAACUCUAAUUCAGCUACUUACCUGGAAAUAAGGCUCAGGCUGGUGGUCGUUCUCUGCCAUCUUAGAAGCUGGAAAAAACUUACACUCACCUUCCCUGUCAGAAGCAAGCUGAAACUCAGGAAAGGAGGUGCCUGCUCUCCAUCAUCAUGGAAGCAGGAAAACUUGCCUUCUUUGUUGGAAAUGAGUAAAACUUCAGAAAAGGAGUUGUACAGCAAAAUCAACCUUAGUUCUCAACCAGAUUUUGGGAGAUCAGGGAACCUCUGCAGGGGAGAAGCUCCACAACCUCAGCAAAUUAUCCGUUGAUUUGGGCAAUAAAGAUAGCCCAGGUUGGUAUCAAGCAAUAAUGAGAUUUAUCAAAGGUCAGGACCACCUUUUUAUGUCUUUCUCUGUCUUUUUUUAUCUUUAUUGGUAUAUACGUUUUGUCAAAACUAGGAGUGCAACACCUGCUUUUUUCUGUUUUCCGUUUGCUUGAAAGAUUUUUCUCCAUUCCUUUAUUUUGAGCCUAUGUAUGGCACCGCAUGUGAGAUGGGUUUCUUGGAGACGGCAUACUCAAAUGGGUCUUGGUUCUUUAUCCAUCUUGCCCCCCUGCGUCUUUCAAUCAGAGCAUUUAGCCCAUUUCCAUUUAAGGUUAGUAAUGGUAUGUGUGGAUUGGAUCCUGUCGUCAUGCUGUCAGCUGGUUAUUUUGCAGACUUGUGUAUGUGGUCGGUUUUUAGCAUCACUGGUCUGUGUACUUCGGUGCAUUUUUGUAGUGGCUGGUGAUGGUCUUUUCUUUCCAUAUUUAGUGCUUCAUUCAGGAGCACUUGUAAGGUAGAUCUGGUGAUAAUGAAUUCUCCCAGCAUUUGUUUGUCUGAAAAGGGUCUUGUUUCUCCUUCACUUAUGAUGCUUAAUUUUGCUGGACAUGAAAUUCUGGGUUGAAAUUUCUUUUCUUUUUUUUUAACCAUUUAACUCUCUAGCUCUCAUUUUAACCAUUUUAACUCUCUAGCGGCCUUUAACAUUGUUUCUUUCAUUUUGACCUUGGAGAAUCUGAUGAUUAUAUGUCUUGGGGAUGAUAUUCUCGUGGCAUAUCUUACUGAAGUCCUCUGGAUUUCCUGAAAUUGAAUGUUGGCCUGUCUGGCUAGGUUUCGGACAUUCUCAUGAAGGAUAUUCUGAAGUAUGUUUUCCAAAUUGGUUCCAUUCUCCUCAUCUCUUUCAGGUACAUUAAUCAGUCAUAGAUUUGGUCGUUUAUAUAAUCCCAUAUUUCUCGGAUGUUUUGUUCAUUCCUUUUCCUCCAUUUUUGUCUGCCUGUUUUGUUUCAGAAAGCCAGUUUUCAAGCUCUGGGAUUCUUUCCUCUGUUUGGUCUAUUCUGCUGGGUGGUCUUGCACAUGAGAUGGAGCUGUUCUGACCUCAGCCCUCCUUAGUCUGCUUGCCUCUCCCAGGACCCCAGCCUGGCCACACCUGCUUACAGGGCAAUAUCGGGUGCCCACACACACUACAAUAAUUUUCAUAAUGCAAUCACACAUAAUCACCAUGUGACUCCAUUAUGAAAAUUCUUGUAGUGUGCUUUUCAGCUCUAUUAGGUCGGUUAUGUCUUCUUUAUACUUGCUAUUUUGUCUGUUAGCUCCUGCAAUGUUUUACAAUGAUUUUUAGCUCACUUGUAUUGCAUGACAACAUACUUCUUUCACUCAGUGAACUUUGUUCCUACGCAUAUCCUGAACCCUGCUUGUAUCAUUCCAGACAUCUCAGCCUCAGCCCAGUUCUGAACACUUGCUGGAGAGUUGAUGCAGUCAUUUGGAGGAAAGAAGGCAUGCUGACUUUUUGAGUUUUCAGUGUUCUCACACAGAUUCUUUCUCAUCUUUAUGGGCUUAUCCACCUUCCAUCUUUGAGGUUGCUGACCUUCGGACAGGGUAUUUUUGUUUUAUUGUAUUUGAUGAUCUUGAGGGUUUCAUUGUGGUAUAAGGUGGAUUCAACCAACUGGCUUUGUUUUUGGAGGAUUUUGGGGAGGCCAAUGUGCAGCUCCCAAUUCCUGGACUGUGUGCUUUAACUCUAGGGAACUUGUCUUAGGCCCCAACUUUGUUCUCUGGCUCCUCGAGGUUUGGAGUCCACUGCACUGAGGGGACCGAAGUGUGGCAACUGUGGCGGAAUGCUAGUGGAUGCAAAAUUCCCUUCCUCCCUGCGGGCGUUCACCCAGUGGUGGAGGCAAGACAGCUGGGGUGUGGGCCAGGGCUCCCCUGCUGUGUGUGUGUUGCACUGGAGGUAGUGUUGGUUCAGGGUGAGCUGCUGGCCAGUGCAGACCAUGGUGCCUUCUCUGUGCCCCUCAAAGAAACAGUGGUCGCUCAGGGUAUAAGAAUGUCCCUUUUUCUCUGCACAGCAUUAGGUCAAGGGUGAGGUGCUGGCAGGGAUGGGGUUCUUGGUUCUGUGCCCACCAAGGCUCUGUCUUCAAUGGCAGUUGGUGUGGGUUGGUGUGUGUGCUGCACUCCCGUGUGCUGUCAGGGCAAGUACAGCAAAACCCACCUGUGUAAACACACACAGCAAAGUGAUGUAGGAAGUUUCCAUAUAAAGGGCUGCAGCAUGGAGAGGUAAUGUGCAGACUGGUGCGUGGCUGUUGGGGCCACCUUGCUGCAGCUCUCCACUGAUCAGCUACGGUCCACUAGCACGGAAGCUAUGCUGUGGGCAUCCGAGAGUGCCCUGUAAGCAGGUGUGGCCAGGCUGGGGUCCUGGGAGAGGCAAGCAGACUAAGGAGUGCCCCAUCUCAUGGGCAAGACUGCCCAGCAGAGAUCAGGUCUCAGAGGAGAACUCCCUCAAAAGUGAACCCCCAGCACAGCAUAGCUGCUUUACACAAACAUGGCCAGUCUUCUUUUUUAAGCAAGUCCCCUUUUUUAAGAGGGGAACUCUCUGACCUGAUCUCUGCUGGGCAAUCUUGAACAUGAGAUGGGGCUGAUCUGAGCUUAGCAUUUCUAAAGUGCUGGGAUAAAGUGUCUCACAAGGGCAAGUGGAGCCUAGAGAGAUAGCUGUCCCUGCCCUCUGGGCUCCACAUCACCUGACUUGCUGCUCCAGCACUCUGCUUGUCUCCUGGGUGCUCCAUCCCGGAGAGAUGUGAGUUAGCAAUCACUUAGCGUAAUCAGCCCAGGAUGGAGGGUCUGUGUUGUAAGCCCAAGCCAGGGUUCCCUCUCUGGUGAUGAGCAGUGUGGGGUGUGUGGUACCCGUGGGAGAUGGACUGGCUUGUUCGUUGGGUCAACUGCAGCUUAUUGGAGGUGUCGAUAUGGCACUUAGGGUCUUUGCUCCCUUGAUAUUCUGAGGGUAGCAAGGGCAGUUCCACUGCAGAGACAGUGGCAGAGGGAAUUUCAUUUGCUCCUGGAAGCUCUGUCCAGGGAAUUGCUGAGUUGCUACUGGCUUGAUAGCUCCAAUGGUGGACUGGCUGGAGACCCAGGCCAGGAGGACUUGUCCAUCAAGUAGACUGUCCGGCCACUUUCCUGUCAGGCUGCUGUGGUAUGCUGGGGGUCCCUCCAGUCCCUAUUUGCCUUGUAUUUUCCAGGGAAGAUGAUAGCCUGCCCCUUCCUCUGGGAGCUCUGGGCCACUGAGGUACGAACUUGUUGCCUAUAUGAACACACCUAUAAGAUAUGACUGGAGACAAGUUGAGAAGUCUUAUCUAGUCAGGAGGAACAAGAACAGGGACUUGCUUAAAAAAAAGUCUGGCCACGUUUUUCUAGAGCAGCUGUGCUAUGCCGGGGGUUCACUUCCACACCUUGUCGCCUCAGACACUCUGAAGCCCUAAGGCUGAAAUGGCUGAGUUGCCCCAACAGCAAAGAUGACAGUCUGGUCCUCCCCCUGGGAGCUCUGACUCAGGGAGGCCUGAAACCUCUGUCGGCCAGAGAACAGCAGUGAAGGUAGCUGGAGACCCUGGUUGAAAGGCUUCACCCACUGAUUAGAAAUGUGUUCGGGGACUGACUUAAACAAGAGUCUGGCCACGUUUUUGUAGUGUGGCUGUGCUGUGCUGAGGUUCCUCUUCCACCCCUUGUCACCUUGGGGUUUCCAAAUCUCGCAGUCCAGAAUGGCUAGUCACCCAAACAGCAAAGGUGGUGGCCUGCCCCUCUCUCUGGGAGCUCUGUCCCGGGAACACUUCAAAUUUCCAUUGGCCAAGGAAUGCUGGUGGCCGUAGCUGGGACCCCAGUUGGGAGGUCCUUUCCAGUGACAUGCAACAGAGUCAGGGGCCUGCUUACAGAAGCAGUCUGGCCAUGAUUUGGUAAAGCAGCCAUGCUGUGCUGUGGGAUCUCUUCUGCCCCUGGUCGGUUUGUACUCUCCAAAGCCUUCAGGCUGGAAUGACCAAGUUGCCUGAACAGGAAAGAUGGCGGCCUGCCCCAUCUAUUCUCUCAGAGUUCGUCUUGUUUGAUGGAGCUUAAUUUUUAGCCCGUUAAUUUUACUGUCUACAUUAGACUUGUUCUGAAAGAAUCUGUUAUCUUUUAGGUUAGAUAUAUGAGAAUUCAUUGUUUUCUGUAAAUAAACCUGUUCAUGUCUUGUUCUCUGGAAAGAAAUCUCUUGCAACUCUCUGACUUUGGUCACAAUCAUGUAGAGCAGUAGCCAGUCUACAGUGACAUAAUUGAAUUUCCAUUUCCAGUGUUUCGUUUUUGUGUCUUACAUUGUACAGUUCAGAACUGUGCAUUUUAUUUCCAAUUGUCAAAAUGCUAAGCUGUCCACUGUAUUGAAAUUCUGUUUUUGUUAAUUCUUCAUCAUUCAGUUUUUUUUAAGAUGUGCACUUUUAUCCAACUUUUCUCAAGGCAGAGUACAGGUAAGCCCUGGCUGCCUCCAGCCACUCUCAGGGAGACCAAAACCCUUCAUACACUCCAAGUUGGGGUACAAAAAAGGGGGGCAAUGAAGGCUAAUCAUUCAAAAUAAAACAAAAUUUAAAAGUAUUAAUGCAAAGAUUUAAAAAAUUUUGCAUUAUGUAAUUUACACAAAAGCAAUGCUAUCACCUCCCCUGUGUGAGCUCGGGAGAGGACUGGGCCAUUCUCCUUAGAGAGAAGUAGGGUGGCUUUUAGGAGGGCAAGGGGCUUCCUGAAACAAUGCAUCUCACAAUAUUUGGAAUGACUAUUGAAAAGAAGAAUAAAGUACAGUCAAAGUCCUUGGCGACAUUGUAGAACUAGCGGGUGCUGACCCCCGAGCCACAACCACAGUUCUGGGUUUGGGGUUUGGUAAAACCACCCCAGGGACAGAGUUCUGGGGCUGGGUUUGGGAGGAACCAAGGCGCCUCCCAGGGAUGGUGUGUCACUCCUGCUUGCCAUGAAAUGUGCACACAGGCUGUCCCCCUGCCCAUCCCAUCCUGCUGGACAGGAUGGAGGAAGUGAGGGAACAGGCAGGGUGGACAGCUGGGGUGCAGGGCGAGGCAGGUGCAUGCUGGGAGGUCAGGACCUGUGAGGGCUGUGGGCUCAUCAGGUGGAGUGGGCUCCAGGUUCACCCUCAGUGCACUGGGCAGGUCUCAGGCCAGGCUCCCUGGACCCCGGCUGGGUGAUGUGGUCACUCCCUGGGGGACUGCUGUCAGACCCUGGCCACCCCCCCUGGGCAGCACCGUCACAUCCCAGGAAUGGACUUUCUGAGUCCUGAGACAGGACAGUGCUGCCCAGGCCUGACAGACUGGGAGGACCUGUUAAGUCCUCCAUCCCUAGACCAGCCAAUCUUAGAAUGAGAUCCAUCUCAUUCUAAGGCAACCAAGGCAGAGCUGAGGACCUGUGCCCAGCUGGGAGCCAGUCCUCUCCCUAAAUGGGCCUUAGGGAAGCCUCAUCCCUAUCCCAGUGCACUGCAAGUUUCAGCCCAGGAGACACAUAGGGAAGGGAGGAUGGGGCCUCUCCACUGGCUGACCCUGGAAAAGCAGGACCUGGGAGAAGAGAGAGCACAGGGCUGGCAGGUGAUGCUCCAUGCCCAUGGAGAGCUCAGGCUCCACCAAGGGGCUGCCUCUCCUGGGCUGGAGGCUGUGCCCUCUGCAGGAUCUGAGGAAGUCCAGUCCUGAGAUGGGACAGUGCUACCCAGGGUGGGCGGCCAGCGCCUGACAACAGUCCCCCAGUAAGUGACCACAUCACCCGGCCGGGGUCCAGAAAGCCUGGGCCAAGACCUGCUCAGUGCACUGAGGGUGCACCUGGAGCCAACCCCACCUGAUGCCCCCACAGCCCUCACAGGGUCUGACCUCCCAGCAUGCACCUGCCUCUCCCUGAAACCCAGCUGCCCACCCUGCCUGUUCCUUGGCGCAAGAACUCCCAGGUCCAUCCAGACACCUGCUUUGUCCACUUUUGACUGGGCCAUUGAACACCACUGGGCCACGCCAACUGUCCACAGCCUCCUCGAUAACAUGCAUUUUCCCUGACAUUUCCCAGUAGUGCUCAGCAGCCCCCACUGACCAGGUCCCUGCUGAGCAGAUUCAGCAUAUCAGAUCCUCCCUGACCACACCCUCACUGAUUAGACCCCCUUCACCAGACCUCACUAACUAGAUUCCCACUGCCAGGCCCACAAUGUCCAGGACUCCACUGACGAGGACCUUACUGACAAGGCCUCACUGGCAAGGCCUCACUGACCAGGUCCUUACUUACAAGGUCUAACUGAUAAGGUUCCACCGAUCAUGACCCCAUUACCUGGUCCCACAGAUGAAGCCCUACUGACCAGGCCUGCAGGGAAUAUGUUGCCAGUGACCAGGCCCCUGCUAACCAGGCCUGAGGUGACCAGAUGCCCCUGACCAGGACCCUAAUAAGUAUGCCCCACUGAACAGGCAUGCACUGCUCAGAUCCCCGCUGACCAGGUCACCCCGUAGACCAGUGCUACAAAAGCCACCACUGAUCAAGUCCUCUCUGACCAGGCCCCCACUGAUUAGGUUUCCAUGGACCAGCCUGCCCUGACCAGGGCCCCACUGACAAGCGCCUCUGCUGACUAGGUCCCAUGUGACCAGACCUCCACUGAAUAACACCCCUUGACCUGGUCACCAGUAACCCAGCCCAAUCUGACAAGGCCAUCACUAAGCCCCAGCUGACAAGGUCUCCAGUGACCAAGUCCCACAGCCCAGGUAGGCAUUGACCAGACACCAAAUAUUUGUCUGCCACUAGGAACCCACUCACCAAGACCUGCACUACUAGAUCCCUCUAAUGAGACCCUCUCUAAGCAGACCCCUGGUGGCCACCUCCCACUAAAUAGGCCUCACUGACCAAGUCCCGACUGACUAGGUCCACUGAGCAGGCCCACACUGAUCAGGCCCCUCCUAACCAUAUCAGAAGGCCAAGCGGCAAAGAGAUGUUUCAUAUGGCAGGAGUAGGAGCAAGACAGAGAAAGGAAAGAGGUGUGACAUCCUGUUAGGCAAUCAAAUCACAUGAGAACUCACUAUCAGGAGAUCAGCAUCAAGAAGACUAACCAAUGGUGAAGGAUUCUCCACCCAUGCCACCGCCCACUGCUUCCAGGCAGAAGCCUCCUGCAGAGGCAGAACCUCUUAGGAAACUUCCAUUAUGGCAGUGCAGAAGGAAAAUAUAGGCUUUGAGCCCCCACACAGGAGGCCACCAUCCUCCAGACUCCAGAUUUGUAAGCCCACCAACAGCUCAUACUCUCAGUAUGGAAAAGCUACAGUCACUCAACACAAACCCAGCCCAUGAGAGCAGCCAUGGGGGCUAAACCCUGCAAAGCCACAGGUGCACUGUCCUAGUAGAGGUUUCCCAUGAGCCUCUGCCUCUGCAGCAGGUUACUCCCACCCUCCCAACACCCUACUGACAACCUACUCCUCCCCACACUACCACCCCUUUUCCUUCCACCCAACCCCCUCCCAUCCAAGAUUAAAUCACCUCCCACCUGACCCACCUCCAACAUUAAGGAUGACACGUGAGUUAUAUAGGGACACAUAGCCAACCCAUAUUAUUCUGACCCUGAUACCCCAGAACCUCAUGUCCUUCUCACAGAGCAAAACACAACCAUGCUUUUUCAAAAGUUUCCAAAAGUCUUAACUCAUUCCAAAUGUAAAAAUUUCCAAGUCUCAUCUGAGACAAGGUUACAGUCCCUUCUGCCAAUGAGUCCCUGAAUUUAAAAGGGAUUUCUUUUCCUUCAAGGUACAACAGGCAUUGGGUAAGAUUUCUCAAUCCAAAUGGAAGAAAUUCCCCAGAAAAAAUAACACAAAUGCAAGUCCAAAACCCAGCAGGACAGUAUUCACUCAAUCUCACAGCUCCAAAGUCAUCAAGAGAACUCACUGUCAUGCGGACAGCAUUAAGGAGAUAGUGUUUACCCAUUUGUGAAGAAUCUGCCCCCCUACCCUCAUCUUUCACUCCCACCCACAAAAUAAUCUCUCCCAUUCUCCCCACAACCCUACCUCCAACACCCACUCUUCUCCAUGAUUAAAUCACCUCCCACCAGGUCCCACCUUUAACAUUCCCCACUACAAUUCCACAUGAGUAUUGGUAGGGACACAGAAUCAAAUCAUAUUAUUCUGGUUCUUGCUCCCCAAAUCUUGUAUCCUUGCCACACUGCAAAAUACAUUGAUGACUUCUCUACUGCCCCCCAAUGACUUAACUCAUUCCAGCAUUUACUGAAAUGUACAAGGACUUACAGACCCCAUGCAAGUCAAAAACCCAGCAGGCCAGUCAUUGAAUCCUACAGCUCCAAAUCAUCCUUUCUGAAUCUACAUCUCACAUCUAGAGAACAGAUGGCUGUGCAGGGUCUAUCCCCCACAGCUGCCCUCAUGGGCUGGGCUGAUGUUGAGUGCCUGUAGCUUUUCCACAUUAAGGGUGCCAGCUGUUGGUGGGUCUAUGAAUCUGGGGUCUGGAGAAUGGUGCCUCCAUAUUUAGGGACUCCAGCCCUAAAUUCUCCUUCUGUACUGCCCUAGUAAAGGUUUCCCAUGAGGCUUUGCCUCUUGGAAAAGAUCCUGCCUGAACACCCGGGUUUUUCCGUACAUACUCUGGAGUCUAGACAAAGGCUCCCAAGCCUCUAGUUUUGUGCUCUGUGCAGCUGCUGGCUUAACACUAUGUGGAAGUCACCAAGGCUUGAAGCUUGCACCCCUGAAGCUGUGAUGCAAGCUGUACCUGUGCAUCUUUAAGCCAUGCCUGGAACUAGAGCUGCAGGGAUGCAGGCAGCAGUGUCCUGAGGCUGCACAUAGAGGGGGGUCACGGAACUGGCCCAGGAAACCAUUCUUCUCUCCGAGGCCCCAGGGCCUAUGAUAGCAAGGGCUGCUGCAAAGGUUUCUGAAAUGGCUUCAAGGCCUUUUCCCUAUUGUCUUGGCUAUUAGCACUGGGCUCCUUUUCAUGCAAAUUUCUGAAGCCUUCCUCAGUUUUCCCCUGAAAAUCAGAUUUUCUUUCUGACCAUUUGGCCAGGCUGCAAAUUUUUGAGUUCUGUUUCUCAUAUAAUAUAAGAGUUGGGACUGAUUUAAUGUAAGACCCAUCCAGAUGUCAUUUCCUCAGUCACACAUAAGGGCACAGGCUAUUUGAUACAGACAGGACAUCCCUUCAGCUUUGCUGUCCAGAAGUUCAUUCCAUCAGAUACUCAGUAAGUCAUCACCCUCAAAUUCAAAGUUUCAGAGAUCUCCAGGGCAGGGUCACUGUGCAGCCACGUUCUUUGCUGCAGCAAAACAAAAGUAACCUUGGCUCCUGUUUGCCGUAAGUACCUCCUUUUCAUCUGAGAGCUUCUCAAUCUGAUCCUUACUAUUUUCCUAUGAGCCUUCUGAUCACAAGUAUUUAACAAUUCUUUACAAAGAUCCAAACUUUCCCUCAUCUCCCUGUCUUCAAAGUCCUCCAAACUCUCCCAAACUCCAUCUGCUACCCCCUUCUGAACAUGCUUCUACAUUAUCAGCUAUCUUUGUCACAGGCUGGCCAUGUGGUAAAGGAAGACAAGCCCAUUUCCUGGGGAAGAAGUCAAGGAGGCUUCAGAUACUUGAGUGAAAAGAAGCUGAGUGCUGAUUGCCAAGACUUUAGGGAGAAGACCUUGAAGACAUUUAAUAGAUCCACUUUGCAGUCAUAAUUUUCUCCAUGAUUAUAAAGAAAAGAGGUUUAAUUGGUUAAUGAUUCUGCAGGCUGUAAGGAAGCAUAGUGGCUUCUGCAUCUGACAGGACUCAGGAAGCCUCCCAAUCCUACCAGAAUGUCAAAGGGCAAGGAGAUGUCUCAUAUGGCAAGAGUAGGAGCAAGACAGAGAAAGGAAAAAUGUUGUCAUGCCCUAUUAUACAAGCAGAUCUCAUGAGAACUCACUAUCACAAGGUCAGCAUCAAGAAGAUGGUGCUUAAACAUUGGUGAAGUAUCUGACCCACACCCCCAACUCCCACUGUUUCCAGGCAGAAGCCUCCUUCAGAUGCAGAACCUCUUGGAAAACCUCUAUUAUGGAAGUGCAGAAAGAAAAUAUGGGCUUGGAGCCCCCACACAGGUGGCCACCAACCUCCAGAUCCCAGAUUCAUAGACCCACCAACAACUCACGCACUUGGUGUGGAAAAGCUACAGACCCUCAAUACCAGCCCAGCCCACGAGAACAGCUGAGGGGCUCAAACCUGCAAAGCCACAGGUGCACUUCCCUAGUGGAGGUUUUCCAUGAGGCUUUGCCUCUGCAGCAGUCUACUCCCCCUUCCUACUUCCCCCCACCCUCCCACCACCCUACUGCCAACCCGCUCCUCCCCAUCCUACCGAUCCCUUUUACCUUCUACCACCACCAACCUCCUGUCCAUAAUUAAGUCACCUGCUUCAACAUUAGGGAUUACAAUUCCACAUGAGUUUCAUAGGGACACACAGGCAAACCAUAUAAUUCUGACCCUGAUAUUCCAGAAUCUAUGUCCUUAUCACAGACCAAAAUACAAUCAUGACUUUUCAAAAGUUUGCAAAAGUCUUAACUCAUUCCAAAUUUUAAAAAUUCAAAGUCUCAUCUGAGAUAAGGCCACAGUCCCUUCUGCCUAUGAGUCCCUGAAUUUAAAAUGGAGUUCUUUUCUUUCAAGUUACAAUGAUGGUGGAGGCAUUGGGUAAGUUUUCUCAGUCCAAAGGGAAGAAAUUUCCCAGAAAAAUAACACAAAUGGGCCCACAGGCCCAAUGCAAGUCCAAAACCCAGCAGGACAGUAUUCACUCAAUCUCACAGCUCCAAAAUCAUCAAGAGAACUCACUGUCAUGUGAACAGCCUUAAGGAGAGUGUGCUUAACCAUUUGUGAAGAAUCUGCCCCCCCACCCUCAUCUUUCACUCCCACCCACAAAAUAAUCUCCCCCAUUCUCUCCACACCCUUACCUCCAACCCCCAUGCUUCUCAAUGAUUAAAUCACCUCCCACCAGGCCCCACCUUCAACAUUCCCCAUUACAAUUCCACAUGAGUUUGCUAGGGAUGCAGAGCCAAAUCAUAUUAUUCUGACCCUGGUCCCCAUAUCUCAUGUUGUUCUCACACUGCAAAGUACAAUGAUGCCUUCUCUACAGUUUCCCAAUCUCUUAACUCAUUCCAGCAUUUACUGAAGUGUCCAAAGCCUAAAGUCUCUUCUGAGACAAGGCUGCCAUAUGUUCUACCCCUGAGCCUCUGAAAUACCAAGCAAGUACUUCCAAAGUACAAUGAUUUUACAUGCAUUGGAUAAGUAUUCCCAGCCAAAAGGAAUAAAUUUGCCAGAAAGAAGCACAAAAUACAUUUGGGACUUACAGACCCCAUACAAGUCAAAAACCCAACAGGCCAGUCAUUGAAUCCUACACCUCCAAAUCAUUUUUUUUGAAUCCAGAUCCCACAUCCAGAGCACAAGGGUAUGAGGCCUGGGCUCCCAAGGCCUUGGGCAGGUCUGCACCUGUGACUUUUGCGGGGUCUAACCUCCACAGUUGCCCUCAUGGGCUGGGCUGGUGUUGAGUACCUAUAGCUUUUCCACAAUCAGGGUGCAAGCUGCUAGUGAGUCUAUGAAUCUGGAGUUGGCAGAAUGGUGCCUCCCUGUAUGGGGUUCCAACCCUAUAUGUUCCUUCUCUACUGACCUAGUAAAGGAGGCUCUGCCUCUUGGAAAAGUUUCGACCUGGACACCCAGGUUUUUCCAUACAUACUCUGGAGUCCAGACUAAGGAUCCCCAGCCUCUAGUUUUGUGCUCUGUGCACCUGCUGGCUUAACACUAUGUGGAAGCCACCAAGGCUUGCAGCUUGCACCCUCUGAAGCAGUGACCCAAGCUGUACCUGUGCAUCUUUCAGCCAUGGCUGGAGCUGGAGCUUCAGGAAUGCAGUCAGCAGUGUCCUGAGGAUGGACAUAGCAGCGGGGCCAUUGGGCUGGAGAAGGAAACCUUUCUUUUAUCCCAGGCCUCAGGGCCUGUGAUAGCAAGGGCUGCUGCAAAAGUCUCUGAAAUGCCUUCAAGGCCUUUUUAACAUUGUAUUGGCUAUUAGCACUGCACUCCUUUUUAUGCGCAUUUCUGAAGCCUUUUUGAACUUUCCCACUGAUAAUCAGCUUUUCUUUUUGACCACUUGGCCAGGCUGCAAAUUUUCCAAACUUUUAAGCUCUCCUUCUCAUUUAAAUAUAAGUUUCACCUUGAGGUCAUUUCUUUGGUCACAUAUAGGACCACAGGCUGUUCGACACAGACAGGACACUUCUUAAGCUUUGCUGCCUAAAAUUUCAUUCCACCAAAUACACUCUAAAUUAUCACCCUGAUGUUCAAAUUUUCACAGGUCUCCACAUUAGGGGCAUCAUGCAGCAACGUUCUUUGCUAAGGAAAAAACAAAAGUGACCUUGGUUCCUGUUCCCAGCAAGCUCCUCAUUUUCAUGUGAGACUUUCUAAGCCUGGAGAUCACUGUCCAUCCUUCUGUCACCUUUUUAAUUAUAACUAUUUAACGAGUCUCUACACUGGACCAAAGUUUUCCUCAUCUUCCUGUCUUCUUCCAAGACCUCCAAACUCUCCAACCUCUGGCCAUUACACACUUCUCAACCUGCUUCUACAUUUUCAGCUACGUUUGUCAUAGCCUGGCAAUGUGGUAAAAGAAGAAAAGUCCAUUUCAGGAAAAAAUUAAUGCAGGCUUCACAUAUUUGCCUGAAAAGAAGCUGAGUGCUGAUUGCCAAGAGACUAGGAAAAAGGUCUUGAAGGCAUUUCAUAGUUCCACUUUAUAGCAUUAUUUUUUUGUAUAAUCAGAAAGAAAAGAGGUUAAACUGGCUGAUGGUUCUGCAAGCUUUAAAUAAAUCAUAGAGGCUUCUGCUUCUGGGAAGAUUCAGGAAGCCUCCCAAUCAUACCAGAAGACCAAGCAGCAAUGGGAUGUUUUAUAUGGCAGAAGUAGAAAAAAAAACACAGAGAGGAAAAAGGUGCCACACGUUGUAUAACCCUGUUAUACAACCAGAUUUCCUGAGAACUCACUAUCACAAGGUCAGUAUCAAGAUGUUGCUUAACCAUUGGUGAAAGAUCUGCCCCCUACCACCCACACCCCUCACUGUUUCCAGGCAGAAGACUGAGGCAGAGGCAGAGCCACUAGGAAAACCUCUACUAGGGCAGAGCAGAAAAAAUAGAUGGGCUUGGAGGCCCCACGCAUGAGGUUACCAUCCUCAGACCCCAGAUUCAUAGACCCACCAACAGCUUGCACUCUCAGUAUGGAAAAGCUACAGGCACUCAACACCAGCCCAGCCUAUGAGGGCAGCCACGGCGGCUACACCCUGCAAACCACAGGUGCACAGCCCUGGUAGAGGUUUUCCAUGAGGAUAUGCCUCUGCAGCAGGCUACUCCCCCUUCCUACUGCCCACCACGCUCUCACCACCCUACUGCCAGCCUACUCCUCCCCACCCUACCCAUUUAUUUUCCCUUUCACCCCUACCAACCUCCUGUUUGUGAUUAAAUCACUUCCCACCAGGUCCCACCUACAACAGUCAGGAAUGCUGUUCCCCAUGAGUUUUUGUAGAGAAACACAGCCGAACCAUAUUAUCCUGACCCUGACACCCCCACAUCUCAUGUCUUUCUCACACAGAAAAAUACAAACAUGCCUUUUCAAAAGUUUCAAAAAGUCUUAACUCAUUCCAGCAGUAACUCAAAUGUAGUAAGUUCAAGUCUCAUCCAGAACAAGACCAAUCCCUUCUGCCUAUAAGUCCCUGAAUGUAAAAUACAAUUCUUUUCUUUCAAGUUAAAACGAUGGCACAGGCACUGGGUAAACUUUCUCAAACCAAAGGGAAGAUUUUCCCAGAAAAAUAACACAAUUGGGACACAGGCCCAAUCCGACUCCAAAACCCAGCAGGACAGCAUUCAUUUAUCAUGAGAACUCACUAUCACACAGACUGCAUUAAGGAGAUAGUAUUUAACCAUUUGUGAAGGAUCUGCCACCCGUCCCCAUGUUUCACCUUCACUCACACCAUGAACCUCCGUUCCCCUACAUCCCCCUUCCAACCCCCAUUCUCUACCAUGAUUAAAUCAUCUUCUACCAAGCCCCACGUUUAACAUUCCCCAUUACAAUUCAACAUGAGUUUUGGUAGGGACACAGAGCCAAAUCAUAUUAUUCCCCCUUUGGCUCCCCAAUCUCACAUCCUUCUCAUACUGCAAAAUACAAUGAUGCAUCCUCUACAGUCCCCCAGUGUCUGAACUCAUUCCAGCAUUUACUCAAAUGUCCAUUUGUGAAGGAUGCACCCCCCGCC
rnacentral:lncRNA from 1 species